AGCGAACGCUGGCGGCAGGCUUAACACAUGCAAGUCGAGCGGGCACUUUCGGGUGUCCGCGGCGGACGGGUGCGUAACGCGUGGGAACGUGCCCUCUUGUUCGGAAUAACUCAGGGAAACUUGAGCUAAUACCGGAUACGCCCUUUUGGGGAAAGGCUUGCUGCCGGAGGAUCGGCCCGCGUCUGAUUAGCUAGUUGGUGAGGUAACGGCUCACCAAGGCGACGAUCAGUAGCUGGUCUGAGAGGAUGAUCAGCCACACUGGGGCUGAGACACGGCCCAGACUCCUACGGGAGGCAGCAGUGGGGAAUAUUGGACAAUGGGCGCAAGCCUGAACCAGCCAUGCCGCGUGAGUGAUGAAGGCCUUAGGGUUGUAAAGCUCUUUUAUCCGGGACGAUAAUGACGGUACCGGAGGAAUAAGCCCCGGCUAACUUCGUG
rnacentral:rRNA from 1 species